rnacentral:rRNA from 1 species
GUCCCUACGGGGCGCAGCAGUGAGGAAUAUUGGUCAAUGGCCGGGAGGCUGAACCAGCCAAGUCGCGUGAGGGAAGACGGCCCUACGGGUUGUAAACCUCUUUUGUCAGGGAGCAAGGUGCAGGUCGGGACCUGCUGUGAGAGUACCUGAAGAAAAAGCAUCGGCUAACUCCGUGCCAGCAGCCGCGGUAAUACGGAGGAUGCGAGCGUUAUCCGGAUUUAUUGGGUUUAAAGGGAGCGUAGGUGGAUUGUUAAGUCAGUUGUGAAAGUUUGCGGCUCAACCGUAAAAUUGCAGUUGAAACUGGC